UAGACCUGUGUUUCUCUAAUGCCUCCC
rnacentral:piRNA from 1 species